rnacentral:rRNA from 1 species
AACGAACGCUGGCGGCAUGCCUAACACAUGCAAGUCGAACGGGAUCCUAGCUUGCUAGGUGAGAGUGGCGGACGGGUGAGUAACACGUGGGAAUCUGCCUUUUGGUUCGGGAUAACCGCGGGAAACUGCGGCUAAUACCGAAUGCCCUCGAGAGAGGAAAGAUUUAUCGCCAGAAGAGGAGCCCGCGUCCGAUUAGGUAGUUGGUGGGGUAAAGGCCUACCAAGCCGACGAUCGGUAGCUGGUCUGAGAGGACGAUCAGCCACACUGGGACUGAGAUACGGCCCAGACUCCUACGGGAGGCAGCAGUGGGGAAUAUUGGACAAUGGGGGGCAACCCUGAUCCAGCAAUGCCGCGUGAGUGAUGAAGGCCUUAGGGUUGUAAAGCUCUUUUGCCAGGGAAGAUGAUGACUGUACCUGGAGAAUAAGCCCCGGCUAACUUCGUGCCAGCAGCCGCGGUAAU